rnacentral:rRNA from 1 species
UGGGGAAUAUUGCACAAUGGGGGAAACCCUGAUGCAGCGACGCCGCGUGAGCGAUGAAGGCUUUCGAGUCGUAAAGCUCUGUCCUAUGGGAAGAUAAUGACGGUACCAUAGAAGAAAGCCCCGGCUAAUUACGUGCCAGCAGCCGCGGUAAUACGUAAGGGGCGAGCGUUGUCCGGAAUUAUGGGGCGUAAAGAGUGCGUAGGCGGCAAAUUAAGUCAGAUGUGAAAACUAAGGGCUCAACCCAUAGAUUGCAUCUGAAACUGAUAUGCUUGAGUCAAGGAGAGGAAAGGGGAAUUCCUAGUGUAGCGAUGGAAUGCGUAGAUAUUAGGGGGAAUACCGGGGGCGAAGGCGACUUUCUGGACUUGAACUGACGCUGAGGCACGAAAGCGUGGGGAGCAAACAGG